rnacentral:rRNA from 1 species
GGAAGUAAAAGUCGUAACAAGGUCUCGAGGAGAACCAGCGGAGGGAUCAUUACUGA